rnacentral:rRNA from 1 species
GACGAACGCUGGCGGCGUGCUUAACACAUGCAAGUCGAACGGAAAGGCCCUGCUUUUGUGGGGUGCUCGAGUGGCGAACGGGUGAGUAACACGUGAGUAACCUGCCCUUGACUUUGGGAUAACUUCAGGAAACUGGGGCUAAUACCGUAUAGGAGCUCCUGCUGCAUGGUGGGGGUUGGAACGUUUCGGCUGGUGGGGAUGGAUGCGCGGCUUAUCAGCUUGUUGGUUGGGUAGCGGCUUACCAAGGCUGUGACGGGUAGCCGGCCUGAGAGGGUGACCGGCGACAAUGGGCCUGAGAGACGGACCAGAGUCGUACGGGAGGCAGCAGGGGGGAACAUUGUACAGUGGGAGGGAGCCUGAUGCAGAAACGCCGCGUGCGUGAUGACGGCCUUCGGGUUGUAAAACGCUUUCGCCUGAGACGACGCGUGAGUGACGGUAAUGGAUGAAUAAGCACCGGCUAACUACGUG